GUAGGUGGGCAAGCGUUGUCCGGAAUUAUUGGGCGUAAAGCGCGCGCAGGUGGGUUCUUUAAGUCUGAUGUGAAAGCCCCCGGGCUCAACCGGGGAGGGUCAUUGGAAACUGGGGAACUUGAGUGCAGGAGAGGAAAGUGGAAUUCCACGUGUAGCGGUGAAAUGCGUAGAUAUGUGGAGGAACACCAGUGGCGAAGGCGACUUUCUGGCCUGUAACUGACACUGAGGCGCGAAAGCGUGGGGAGCAAACAGGAUUAGAUACCCUGGUAGUCCACGCCGUAAACGAUGAGUGCUAAGUGUUGGGGGGUUUCCGCCCCUCAGUGCUGCAGCUAACGCAUUAAGCACUCCGCCUGGGGAGUACGGUCGCAAGACUG
rnacentral:rRNA from 1 species